rnacentral:rRNA from 1 species
AGAGUUUGAUCAUGGCUCAGAUUGAACGCUGGCGGCAGGCCUAACACAUGCAAGUCGAGCGGAUGACGGGAGCUUGCUCCUUGAUUCAGCGGCGGACGGGUGAGUAAUGCCUAGGAAUCUGCCUGGUAGUGGGGGACAACGUUUCGAAAGGAACGCUAAUACCGCAUACGUCCUACGGGAGAAAGCAGGGGACCUUCGGGCCUUGCGCUAUCAGAUGAGCCUAGGUCGGAUUAGCUAGUUGGUGGGGUAAUGGCUCACCAAGGCGACGAUCCGUAACUGGUCUGAGAGGAUGAUCAGUCACACUGGAACUGAGACACGGUCCAGACUCCUACGGGAGGCAGCAGUGGGGAAUAUUGGACAAUGGGCGAAAGCCUGAUCCAGCAAUACCGCGUGUGUGAAGAAGGCCUUCGGGUUGUAAAGCACUUUAAGUUGGGAAGAAAAAACUUCAAUUAAUACUUGAAGUCUUGACGGUACCGACAGAAUAAGCACCGGCUAACUCUGUGCCAGCAGCCGCGGUAAUACAGAGGGUGCAAGCGUUAAUCGGAAUUACUGGGCGUAAAGCGCGCGUAGGUGGUUCGUUAAGUUGGAUGUGAAAGCCCCGGGCUCAACCUGGGAACUGCAUUUGUGACUGCAAGGCUGGAGUGCGGCAGAGGGGGAUGGAAUUCCGCGUGUAGCAGUGAAAUGCGUAGAUAUGCGGAGGAACACCGAUGGCGAAGGCAAUCCCCUGGGCCUGCACUGACGCUCAUGCACGAAAGCGUGGGGAGCAAACAGGAUUAGAUACCCUGGUAGUCCACGCCCUAAACGAUG